rnacentral:lncRNA from 1 species
GUGUUUGGUCUGGGCGUGCGAACGAGAGAAGGAACCAAGGGAACCAAAACCCUAAACAACCUAAAACCAUCAAAUUGAAAGGGGAAUCGAGGGCUGAUCGAAUGCAUGAGUCUAGAUACCCUUUAAUCUAAGUGUAUUGAUCAUAAGUGGUAUGGUGGAACGUGUCAAGGAGAGCUCAAGCAUAGGAGGAUAACGGGUCAAGAUAAGGCAAGGUGACAAAUACACUUAUUGGAAUACUCAAGGUAAGUGAUUUCUAUAAUCACUUCUUUAGUUGUUUAAGUAAUAUAAUGUUUUAAUUAUUAAGUUCAUAUGAAGAUGAGGUUAAAUCAAUGGAUUAUUUUGAUAAAUGCACGAAUGGGUCGAAUAAUUCAUAGAUGAAUAACAAGCCGAAUACGUAUAAGUUAAGGAAUUCCUUAACUCGGAUGUUGGACUUCAAGAUCACGUGAUAGAAUAUUAAAUUACAAUCAUAUAGGAAGAAACGUGACGCAAAACGGACGAAAAAUGAGAGAGUUAUGUCCGUUUCAGUAAGGAUUAAUGGCUAGGAAAAGUGCAGAGUUGACACGGCCGGGUGGUGAACUGACACGGCCGGGUGAAGGUUCUGUCAAAAAUAUUAUUUAUGUGAUUUAUGCGCCGUAGGCUUCGGUAUAUUAUCCGUGAACUACGACGGGCCUCCCAAACAUGAUUUCGAGUGUUUCUUUGACGAUUAUAAGUUGUAAACCCAAGUCUAAGCCUCAUGUAAUUUAUAUAAGAGUGUGAUAGAUGUAUGUAAUGAAGUUGGACAUGUAUUACAUGUAAAUGUAUACAAAAAUACGUACGGAACACGUAGGUAUGAAUACAUGAUUGUAGGUAUGAUUAAUUGUAUAUUAGGUAUGUAGAUGUGUAUGAUUGUAAGUUUGUACGUGUGCAAGUAUGUGCGAAUGCAUGAUUCGGAUGCAUUUGAGAAUUAGCGUUACUAAUAAUGCCCUUGGGUUUGGAAUAUAAGUUGAUUGGAUGCAUUUAAAUGGUUAACGUCCUUUUUAUGAAGAUGUAGUAAAUGAAUAUGUUGAGAUUACGGGUUUGGCUAACCAAGUUAUUAUUGAGUAUGUUUGAAAGUGCAGGUGAUGAAUGUCGGACUUUCGAAGUGUUGAUAUAAUAAUGAAACGGUUGAAUGUUGAAAGGAUAAUCGGACUGAAGUAACUUAUGCGGUUAGAAUAUGCUAUGGACGUUUUAGUUUAUACAAUAUUAUAUGUUUGGUCGUCACCAUCUACUAACAGGUUCGUUGUAUGAGAGUAUAUGUCAUACCCAUUUAAUUGGGUAAUCGAAUGCGUAAGAAAAAUGAAAGUACGCACACGAAUGGAACUAAAAUGACGGUUUUAUAAGCAAACAAGUAUAAUGACUAACUUUUUAAAGCUUUGUUGUUGAAUGUAGGUAAAUCCUCAAUUUUGGCGACUUGGAGAAUCGGAGCGAGCGCGUGUUCGUGUUAUGCGAUACCAAACGCUUCCGCUAGUUUGUUCAAAUGUUUUUGACCCAAAAUUUGUUGUAUUGGUUUUUAGUAGUAUCUUGUUGAACGAAUUGUAGAAUUGUAUCUAGUUUGUUUAUGUUUAAAACAGGGGUAUGCUCGUUUUAUGGACGGGUCAUGCCCGAUUUUUUGUUAAAUUAUAGUUUGAUAAUAUCACAUUUAGGAAGGUGAAAUUUUGG